GAGCGGACAGAAGGGAGCUUGCUCCCGGAUGUUAGCGGCGGACGGGUGAGUAACACGUGGGUAACCUGCCUGUAAGACUGGGAUAACUCCGGGAAACCGGAGCUAAUACCGGAUAGUUCCUUGAACCGCAUGGUUCAAGGAUGAAAGACGGUUUCGGCUGUCACUUACAGAUGGACCCGCGGCGCAUUAGCUAGUUGGUGAGGUAACGGCUCACCAAGGCGACGAUGCGUAGCCGACCUGAGAGGGUGAUCGGCCACACUGGGACUGAGACACGGCCCAGACUCCUACGGGAGGCAGCAGUAGGGAAUCUUCCGCAAUGGACGAAAGUCUGACGGAGCAACGCCGCGUGAGUGAUGAAGGUUUUCGGAUCGUAAAGCUCUGUUGUUAGGGAAGAACAAGUGCAAGAGUAACUGCUUGCACCUUGACGGUACCUAACCAGAAAGCCACGGCUAACUACGUGCCAGCAGCCGCGGUAAUACGUAGGUGGCAAGCGUUGUCCGGAAUUAUUGGGCGUAAAGGGCUCGCAGGCGGUUUCUUAAGUCUGAUGUGAAAGCCCCCGGCUCAACCGGGGAGGGUCAUUGGAAACUGGGAAACUUGAGUGCAGAAGAGGAGAGUGGAAUUCCACGUGUAGCGGUGAAAUGCGUAGAGAUGUGGAGGAACACCAGUGGCGAAGGCGACUCUCUGGUCUGUAACUGACGCUGAGGAGCGAAAGCGUGGGGAGCGAACAGGAUUAGAUACCCUGGUAGUCCACGCCGUAAACGAUGAGUGCUAAGUGUUAGGGGGUUUCCGCCCCUUAGUGCUGCAGCUAACGCAUUAAGCACUCCGCCUG
rnacentral:rRNA from 1 species